rnacentral:misc_RNA from 1 species
GUAACAAGGUCUCCGUUGGUGAACCAGCGGAGGGAUCAUUACCGAGUACUAUAACUCAUAACCCUUUGUGAACCUUUAUACCUGUUGCUUCGGCGGCGCGCCUCCCGGGGCGUGCCCGCCGGUAUCAUCAGAAUCUCUGUUCGAACCCGACGAUAUUUCUGAGUGUUCUAAGCGAACUGUUAAAACUUUCAACAACGGAUCUCUUGGCUCCAGCAUCGAUGAAGAACGCAGCGAAACGCGAUAUGUAAUGUGAAUUGCAGAAUUCAGUGAAUCAUCGAAUCUUUGAACGCACAUGGCGCCUUCCAGUAUCCUGGGAGGCAUGCCUGUCCGAGCGUCGUUUCAACCCUCGAGCCCCCGUGGCCCGGCGUUGGGGAUCUGCCCAGGCAGUCCCCGAAAACCAGUGGCGGACCCGUUACAGGCCCUUCCCUUGCGUAGUAGCAUUCGCCUCGCAUCGGGAGCCGGCGGGCUUCCAGCCUCUAAACCCCCAUCAAGUCCGCCCCGGCGGCACCAAGGUUGACCUCGGAUCAGGUAGGAAUACCCGCUGAACUUAAGC